rnacentral:lncRNA from 1 species
UUAAGCACUUUAAGAACAAUAAGAAAUCAUGUUAGCAGCUUGAUUGGAAAAAAGGAAAAAGAAAUUCAUGUUUGCAUUAUUAGUCUUACAAAUGAAACGGCUCGAGAAAGAAAAAGAAAAUCAUCACUUUUUUAAAAGAAAAAUAUAAGACACACAGAGUGUUUCUCCGAAAAUUGCAUGUAACAAUAUUUAUGAUCCCUAUUGAUGUUUCAACUCACCACUUAACCACCAACUCCAAAUGAGUUAGGACCUGUAUCAUGUCAUAAUUAAAGCAGGAAAUUACUAUGCAUGUAUAAAGAAAAAAAAAUAAAAAUACACCAUGUGAAAGGGGAUGUAUGAAGCAUCAUAGAGGAAGAAUAUAGAGAAGUAUGUAAGAAGCAACAUAGUUAAAUUACUUAUCUGAAUUAUUCAAUGGUAGAAAAUUCAUUCAACAACUUUUUUCAAACAACCACCUUUUUUCAUUUACCAUGUUAAUUAUACAAACCAGGUCCAUGGAGUUAAAAGGUUAUGAAUAGAAAAACAAAAAUACGACAGCAUUUCCAAUUUCGACCACCACCUGCCUAUACAUGGUUCAAAAAAGGUAGUAAUACUAUUAGUUACUUGAAUUUUGCCUUUAAUGAAAAAGCUUGUUCAGCCAAAACGAUAGAGUUGUGGAGAAUGAGAGGAGGCUUUGGAAUGCAUCUUUGAUAGGCUUCCACCACUUGUUUAGGCUGAUUUCAGUUCUCUGAGAGAAACACAUGAAAAAAUAGGGUGCUCUGCUGCUUGCAAAUAAUGGCAAGCUACACUGCCUCAAGAAAUAGUGCUUCACUCUUGGAAAAAGAGAGACAUACCUGGGAAUUUUGAGAAAUUAGGCAACAUUUGUGGAACACAUAAAAAAAUGAAAAUGACAGCAGCAAAGUUAUAAGUUCUUCAGCAAUGAACAAGUUCGUUUACUCUAAAUUUUCUUAGCCCUUUCGCCUAACUGUGGAUGGACUCCACCACAUAGGAGGCAAAUAUAAUAUAGGAAAACAUAAAUGGAAUUUGCUAAAAGCACCAAAUUUUGAUACUCCUCAUGUAUAAGACUGCUUAAAUAAUCUGAAACUUGACUAUCGAAUUGAGAUGCAGUGUAGAAUUUAGCACUUUCUUAAUUCCAUAACUUGUUUGUCAUAGCAUAGGAAUAUAGUCUCGAAGUUCUGCUCAUUCAGAGCCUCAAUUAGAAUUCAAGGAAAAUCAAUCAUGGAAAUCAUAAUUUUUAACAAAUACUAAAAGUAAUUGAGGUCAACUAACCAAAAAUACUAUGAUUGAAUAGUAAAAAUAUUUAUGAUGUAUAUAUAGCAAAAUUCUCUACGUGCAGUGAGAGGUUAUAAGUGAAAAAAAGCAACAAUUAAGUUUUGAUUGUUAGUACACAGUUUUGUGGUACUUAUUUUCCUUUCUGGGUAUGAAAGAGGCAAUGGGCAUACCAAAUCCUGCACAAAUAACAUAUAAACAUCAUGUCAGCAUCUUUCAACCAUAGUUUUUUUAUUUUUUUGUUAAAUGAAUCUUUCAGUUAUAGUUCUCCAUAAUUGAACACAAAAGAUGACCGCAACAUUCAAAUUUUAGAAGUUUUAUCAUUACAAACAUAAAUACCUAGCUAAUUACAAGCUGAUGCUGGAAAAAGAUCAAAAGUACCAAGGCCAACAAAGAGAAGAUCAGACAGUGAAUCUACAAUGCACCAGCAAGUGUAAAGGAAAUAAUAGGCACGGUUAAAAGUACUUCCAGGACCGGAGUAUCCAUAUUCUUUUAGAAUGGUAUAAUAACUCAAUCAUCGACCAGUAUGCAUUCCCCCUCAGAUCUCCAAACUUUGAGACCUCUAAGAGAACUAUGUCCUUUGAGGCAAUGCUGGCUAAAUUUGUGCAUAAUCAAAAAAGAAUCAAAGGCAGCAAUGGAUGCACUUGAGCGCAUGUUUUUGCCAACAAAUUGCUCAAUUAUAACUGAUUCUCUUUGAAGCCCAUGAGUUUGUCAAAUACAACAAUUAUCUUUACAUCUUCAACACAGGCUUCCGAAGGCCAUGAGGAUGAUGCUCAUAUUUCUUCCAAGAGUUGUGCUAAGACGAUAUCGGAGAACAAUAAAAUCAUAGAGGCAACAUUUAGAAAAGAGAAAAACCAGGCAAAAGACACAAAUGGAACACGUGUCAACUACUAAGCUAUUUUGAAGAGCACUGAAAAUUCUUGAUUCGCGCAUCACAACUCUUAUUAUGAGAAUCCAUCCUAUUUUCGAAUUAUUUUCGAAUUAAUUUUUAUAGAUGUUGCUGUCCUGCAGUAACGACCACUAUAAUAGAAGAAGCUAUAAUAAUCACCAAACUAAUUUUUCUGAACUAUAUAAAAGCACCAAAAGUAUAGUUGGCAGCAAAGGAACGGGUUACUGCAGGUUCUAUCUACUUCUGUUCAUCAUAUUCACCAGUUCUUAACAACCACGACAUCUGUAACAAUAAUCUACAGACCCUUAAUUUGAAAAGAAAGUUGCUUUUGACCUCCGGUGUUUUCAAUCAUCUGCUGAGAUUUCUCUUGAACAUCCAAGACUAAUUGGUCAUUAAAGAACAUAGAUGAUACUCUUAUGUAAUAAAAUUAAUAGCAGACACAUGCAACUUGGUAUCGUCUGUGAAAAUGAGCAAAUAAGUAGCAUACAUAAAGUUAGGAAGUUUUAAAUAAACAAGGAAGUUUGUUGAACUUCAUGUACUCUAUUGAUAAAGCAGACAUUUUUAACCCUGAUGCAGCAUCUAACUGUCAGAUUAAACUAAAAAAGAGAGCUCAUAUACUUGUAAGAUAGUACUAACAAAUAACAAACUUCCUGCAUAACCCAUUUUUUCGAUCAUUCCCUUUAAAACUUGACAUAGUGUUGGUCUGGCCUGAAGAAGUCGACAUUUGUCUUUUCAGUAAUUGGAUAUUUAUUUUGGAAAGCUUCCCUAAGAGACUGUCUCCUAGUUAAAAAAUAAAUGAAUCUACACUUACAAAUAAUAAUAAGUAGAAGCAGCCAAGUUCCAUCUCCCAUGCAUGCUGAAAGAAACAACAAAAAGAACCAACAAAAAAAGGACAGAUAUCAUAUCUGAUUCAAAUGUCAAACAUUUCCUAAAGUUUGAGGGAAAGACAUUGUAUCCGAUUUCCAGUGGAAGGGUAAACUGUCUUUGUUUAGAAUCACUUCCCUUCAACUUUCACUAAUGAAAGUUCCUUGCAAAAUCAUCAAAAUCGAUUAAAUUCACCCAUGUAAUUUCUAGUAGUCAACUAAAAUCGGAAGAGGGUACCAAAAUGCCUUUGUUGCUACAAUUGAUUAAGGUCCAUCCAAGCUAACUAAACGGGUCUAGUUUUCUGUUUCAGUGAAAUUUUGUUAGGAGAGUCUUCACUAAUUACUCUACAUGAAGCAAAUACCCCUUUAAGCAAACUGACACAAGAAAGGAAGGAUGUAUGACAUCCACAACGUCGUUAUCUUUAAACCCCCCAAAAUCAGAAACAAAAAAACAUGCACCUAAGUAUUUCUUUCCAAAUAUACAUAUCAAAAUAAUAUGAAAUUCCAAACAUGCAUGUACAAAAUGUAGUAAAAAUUAUUCAAAAACAAUAGAAAAAUCAACAUCGAACAAAAAAUGGACAUAAUUUUCAAAGAAAUUCAAAAGAGAAAGUCAGAACACGGGCCAAGAAAGAAAGAACAGGGGAGAAAACUUACCAGACUUAAAACACAUUAGAGGCUAGAAGAUUGUAGCAAACAGAAUGUAAAAUCAGAAAAAGUCAAAAUGUAUGAAAGAAUUUUGAAAAAAAAAACCCAGAGGAAUUUAAAAACUCACCUUGAACUGUUGAAUAAGUAAGAAGGUUGGGGUGAACAUUGAAAGAGAGAGAAUUAGAGGGGUGAAUAGAUGGAAAAAUAUAGAAAUACAGUGUAUCUGAAAUAGUGAAAUCCAUGUGGCUUGCUAAAGCAAAAAGUGUAAUCCACGUGCUAAUUCGCCAAUAAGGUAGGCCCAAAUAUAUAGUACCAUUUACAGUGCCUUUUGUACAGCUAAAGAAUGCAAUGUUCGUACACCUAAACUGCCACUUCUAAAUUAUACUAGCAGGGCUUGCCCGUGCAUCGCAACGGGCCCAAUGGGAGCAAUUUUUUUUCAAACAUCUAACAUUAUGAAUAUUUUAGAACUAUACUACAAACAAUAGUUGAUGCUUGUCACCUCAGAUUACUACAAAUAACCAUCAGUUUUGCUUGCUUAAACAUCUGGAAACAAUGUUCUUUUUUUGGGCCGAUAUGCAUUGUUCUUAAGUAAAACAUAGCCUUGACAUUACUGAAGCUAAGGUUCUCAACCACUUUGGUAUUUCUGAUAAAGUUCUCUGCGCAAUUAGAUCUCUUUCGACCUCACAACUUUUUCAUUGGCAAUUGGAAUAGCAAGUGGAUGAAUGUGUUCAUCCAGUAUCAUUAAAAAGUGAUCUAACAUAUGUGGUGCCACAAAUAUGUAUUCACGAUCCAAAAUGAUCCUACUACCCCUAUUAUAACCAAAAAUCUUAUUAACUUCAUUUUUACUGGUUCUUUGAAAGGCCAAUAUACAAUGAAUGUACACUAAAAUACCACAAGCUUAGUAAAUAGACUACCUAAUUUUCAAAUGAAAAUACCACAUAUCAUUACAAUACCAUAUCAUUCAUCAAGCUAGUAUUAUUUUUUUUAUCUUAAAGUAAAAGCUUACAAAAGAGAUGUAAGGUGUAAUCCGGUGCAAACAAAAAGCCUAGAGUAGCUAAUGCUUAUCUCAAGGUGAUCUUUCUUCUCAUAUGAGAGGUACUAAAAAGAGAAGACAUACAACUCAUUUAACAGGUAACAAUGUUGAGUUGUCAUGGACCUUCUCUAUAUUUUACAUUUAGGAUGAGAAAUAUGGCAAGUGGACCAGGUUAACUCCUACAAAAUCUGGAAUAUUCAAACGAAGAGNNN